rnacentral:rRNA from 1 species
AAUAUUGGUCAAUGGGGGCAACCCUGAUCUAGCCAUGCCGCGUGUGUGAAGAAGGUCUUCGAAUUGUAAAUCACUUUAAGUUUGGAGGUAGGGCUUUAGGUUAAUACCCUGAAGUUUUGACGUUACCAACAUAAUAAGCACCGGCUAACUCUGUGCUAGCAGCCGCGGUAAUACAUAGGGUGCAAGCGUUAAUCGGAAUUACUGGGCGUAAAGCGAGCGUAGGUGGUUCAGUAAGAUGGGUGUGAAAUCCCCGGGCUUAACCUGGGAACUGCUUUCAUAACUGCUGAGCUAGAGUACGGUAGAGGGUAGUGGAAUUUCCUGUGUAGAGGUGAAAUGCGUAGAUAUAGGAAGGAACACCAGUGGCGAAGGCGACUACCUGGACUGAUACUGACACUGAGGUGCGAAAGCGUGGGGAGCAAAC